rnacentral:rRNA from 1 species
CCUACGGGAGGCAGCAGUGAGGAAUAUUGGUCAAUGGGCGCGAGCCUGAACCAGCCAAGCAGCGUGAAGGAUGACUGCCCUACGGGUUGUAAACUUCUUUUAUAAAGGAAUAAAGUGAGGCACGUGUGCCUUUUUGUAUGUAUUUUAUGAAUAAGGAUCGGCUAACUCCGUGCCAGCAGCCGCGGUAAUACGGAGGAUCCGAGCGUUAUCCGGAUUUAUUGGGUUUAAAGGGAGCGUAGAUGGGUUGUUAAGUCAGGUGUGAAAGUUUGGGGCUCAACCGUCAAAGUGCAAUUGAGACUGGCAGCCUUGAGUACAGGUGAGGUAGGCGGAAUUCGUGGUGUAGCGGUGAAAUGCUUAGAUAUCACGAAGAACUCCGAUUGCGAAGGCAGCCUACUGGACUGCGACUGACAUUGAUGCUCGAAAGUGUGGGUAUCAAACAGGAUUAGAUACCCGAGUAGUC